GGCUUUAUAUGUGCCCGUGUCUCCCUGUCUGGUUGGUCUUGUGCCCUUGUUUUGUCUAGUCCUUGUUGUUUCAUGUUCUUGUCUUGCUCCUUAGCUUUGUCGUGUCUAGUCUUGUGUUAGAGUUCCUGAUCUGUUCCCGUGUGUCCUGCCCUUGUUCUAUCUGCCUGACUCUUGGUCUGCUUCUGAGUCGGCGGUCACCUAAUGUUUGAGCUCUGCUCUAUGAUGCCUUGUGUGGUCUUCUCCAUCAGCCUGGUCUUGCCGCCCCCUCUGUUGCCAAUGUAUUCUGCAAGUUUCCUGAAGCUGACCCAGUGGCCUUCCCUAGCUGUUCCUGUUUAUUGUGUUCCUGUUGUGGUAUUUGUGCACUUCACUACCCUCUUGUAUCAGUCUGUUUUGUCAAUAAACCAUUGUUCACUCACUCUCUAACUGGGUCCUCCUUCUCAGAUCCCUGACAUUACGAACCAGCCCAAGUCAGGACCCAGCAGAUGAGCAUCACUACUCCGGGUUUUUUUUUUUUCAUUUUAUCUAGUGAAUUUUUUUUGCCCUGAAUGUUAAUCAUGUCUUGUUAGUUUCAGAUACCCCUGAGUUGGCUGAUUGCUGCAGCUAUCCCUGAUCUAGUCAAGUUCAAUUUCUGAAUCCGUCAAGUCAGUUUCAAACUCUGCUGGGAUUGCUGUAGUCAUCUUUGCUUCAAAUCAUUCCAGUCAGAAUUAAAGUUAUCCAAGCCGCUCCAGUGUCGGCUCCAGCCCCAGAGCUCGCUCCAGUGUCGGCUCCAGCCCCGGAGGGCAUCAAGAAUCAGUUCCUGCAGCCCCCGAGUCUCUUCCAAUAGCCCCCACAGUCCUUCCCCAGUCAAUAUUGGAACCUAGUCCAGAGGUGUUUAGUUCGGUGGUCUUGUUGUCAGAACCUCAAGUCAUAGUUACAAGGGUAUUCUACCAAACCUCCCAGCCUAUUUGACUGUUACAGAAGUUGUACCGGAGACUGUUCUAGCCUCUCACAUCCUGUCAUCAGAAGUCAAUCUUGUCACCAUGCCCACUGAAGUUUCUCCUGUCAUUUGUCAAGUGUCCAGAGAUCACUCCUGUCAUGUCCACAGAUGCUGUCUAGUCCCCAGAGUUCACUCCUGUCAUGUCCACGGAAGAUGUUGUCAAGCAUCCAGAGUUCACUCCUGUCAUGUCCACGGAAGAUGUUGUCAAGUCAUGCCUUCAGAGGUUGUCCCUACCCAUCAUGUCUGGGCCAUACAAAGUGUUCCUGCUUGUCCUGUCACUCCUAUAGAGGUCGUUCCUGCCAGUUGGGUCAUGGCCAUAGUUGUUCCUACCGUCAAGUUAUGGCCAUAUAAAAUGUUCCUGUCUGUCCUGUUAUGCCUACAGAGGAUGUUCCUGCCAGUUGGGUCAUGGCCAAAGAGGGUGUUCCUGCCUGUCAAGUUAUGGCCAUAUAAAAUGUUCCUGUCUGUCCUGUUAUGUCCUGAGGCCGCCCUUGCCAGUUGGGUCAUGGCCAUGGAGAUGCGUUCUUGUUUGUCUUGUCAAGCCCACAAAGGUUGUUCCUGCUAGUCAAGGUACAGUCACUGAGAUCAUACCAGACCAGCUAUCUGCUGCUUCUGAUGAGUCCCUCAGAGGAUGAUCCUGAUAGAAGUUGCGCCCACUGAGAUCAUACCAGACCAGCAAUUGGCUGCUUCUGACGAGUCCCUCAGAGGAUGUUCCUACUAGUUGUCAGCCACCUGAAGAGGCUAUCCUGUCUGUUUUGUCCCAUCCUUGAAGAUUGUUCCUGUUUGUCUUGUCAAGCCCAAGGAGGUGGUUCCUGCUAGAAGUUGCACUCACUGAGAUCAUACUGGAUCAGCUAACUGCUGCUUCUGACGAGUCCCUCAGAGGAUGUUCCUGCCUAGAAGUUGCACCACUGAGAUCAUACCAGACCAGCUAUCUGCUGCUUCUAACGAGUCCCUCAGAGUGAUCCAGCUAGUCAUGUUCCACCUGUGGAGGCUAUCCCCCAGUAUACUAUCCCUGUCAUGACCUCUGAAGAUGUUCCUGAACAGUCUGCUCAACCACAGUGCUACCGCUUGAUGCUGACUUUCACCACAACCCCCCCCCCCCCGCUACCUGCACUUUCUACUCUUGCAACUAUUGUGUAGUCUGAGUGGAUGCCAGGAGGCGUCCAUUGGGAGGGGGGUAGUGUCAGGGUUUUGCACUGUCACUGGGUUUUGUUUCUUGUUUAUGUCUUGUCAGCACAUGGCCUUGUUAGUUGUUUUCUCUGCCAUGUGCUCCCUUAGUCCCUCCUCCUUGUUUCAUUUCUACGUCACCCUCUUGUUAGCCUUGUUAGUCUAAUUGUGCUCACCUGUUCCUCAUGUGUUUUCCUCCCUAUUUAUAGUGCUCCUUACCCUUUUGUUUUUGCUGGUUCGUGGUCAUUUUCACCCCCUCUGUCACCGUCUUCGUAGCUGUCUGUGGAUAUGGCUAUAUGUGCCUGUGUCUCCCUGUCUGGUUGGUCUUGUGCCCUUGUUUUGUCUAGUCCUUGUUGUUUCGUGUUCUUGUCUUGCUCCUUAGCUUUGUCGUGUCUAGUCUUGUGUUAGAGUUCCUGAUCUGUUCCCGUGUGUCCUGCCCUUGUACUAUCUGCCUGGCUCUUGGUCUGCUUCUGAGUCGGCGGUCACCUAAUGUUUGAGCUCUGCUCUAUGAUGCCUUGUGUGGUCUUCUCCAUCAGCCUGGUCUUGCCGCCCCCUCUGUUGCCAAUGUAUUCUGCAAGUUUCCUGAAGCUGACCCAGUGGCCUUCCCUAGCUGUUCCUGUUUAUUGUGUUCCUGUUGUGGUAUUUGUGCACUUCACUACCCUCUUGUUUCAGUCUGUUUUGUCAAUAAACCAUUGUUCACUCACUCUGCAAUUGGGUCCUCCUUCCUAGAACCCUGACA
ensembl:lncRNA